rnacentral:rRNA from 1 species
GUCCUAGCCGUAAACGAUGAACACUAGGCGUAGUCGGUAUCGACCCCGGCUGUGCCGUAGCCAACGCAUUAAGUGUUCCGCCUGGGGAGUACGGCCGCAAGGCUAAAACUCAAAGGAAUUGACGGGGGCCCGCACAAGCAGCGGAGCGUGUGGUUUUAAUUCGUCGCAACGCGAAGAACCUUACCAGGGCUUGACAUGCACCGGAAAACGGCGGAAACGUCGUCCUCCCGCAAGGGAUCGGUGUGCAGGUGUUGCAUGGCUGUCGU